rnacentral:lncRNA from 1 species
UCAAUUUUAUUAAAAGGUGGAAUUAAUAUAUGCUUUUCUUAUUGUUUUUAGAAAAGCACAUCUUAGUGGCAACACUGCAGCUGUUACUACCAACAUCUGGAUCAGAGAUUCCGGUGUGCCUACCUCCUCCUGGGUUAGCAGGAGAAUGAAGAUGCGGAAGGAAGGGUGGAGAGAGGCCCCAGGGCUGUGCUAUAUGCUCCUCACAGAUGGGUCUCCAGAGUGCCCUACCAUUUUGAGGAACACAUUUGGUCCAUAUCACUUGAUUUCCA